UUAUCUCUAUACUAUGGUGAACAAAUCUAGUGCUUUUGCUUUCACCAAUCUCUUAGAGCACCUCCAACGCUGCUUCUUAGUGAAUCCUUAGUAUCUUUCCCUAUGCUAAAUGGAUUAAACAAAUAUUAAAACAAUUCCUGUAGUUAAGAAUGAAUCCUUAGCUAAGAGAAUUAAGGAUUUGAUCCUUAGCCAAUUCUUCUUCUUCACUUCUCGUUCAUCUUGUCUUCUUCCUCCUUAUUCAAUUCUUCUUCCUCACUUUCCAUCUCUUUCCCUUUCUCUCCUUAAAAACCCAAAUCUUUCAUCGAUUGUGUUUCCCCGAGUCCACAUGCGUUGUUUCUAUUUAUUGAAAUUUUACCAAUUUAUUUUAUUUUUGUGUAGGGAGGGAGGUUUGAAUCGAGAGCAAGGAUGGAUUUCGUGAAGAAUCUAGGCUGUUGAUACUGCAGUUAGAGUGUUGAAAGAAGGAGGAAUGGAUGCUAAACUUGAAGGAGGUUCGCCUUCAAGGAUUACUGCUGCAAAAUCCAUUGUGGAAGCAGGCAUUGCGGUUAUGGGACAUGUUGCUGAACUGAAAGCACAGCUUGGCUUAUAUUAUCGAACUUUUUUGUGAUAGUGAUUCAUGUUUAACACAGUUUCAUAUUAUUUUUAACUCAAUGCAAUUGACAAUAUUGUUUCACUUCUAAACAUAUGCAUUUCACAUUAUAAUU